GGGCCGGUAUCUGAAUCCCUUGUCUAUUAACCUGAUAACGCCCUCACCACAGCUUGUCUUUCAGUUUUUCUGAAUAACCAACCACCUAGGAGGAAGCACAAAGCACUUGCUCAGCCGCCAUGGUGGUCUUUGGCUGUUCCGCCAUCCCCAAAGGAUCUUGGUGGAUGUACAGCUGCAGAAAGUGGAUGAUUAAGACUACCGUGCUGAAGAAAAAUGCCCCACUGAGUCACAAAGCUAAGGAUGACUCCCUGUUUCCCAAAGACUGGAAAAGAUUAUUUACCUGAUCC
rnacentral:lncRNA from 1 species